UGAUUUAUCCUGAAAGAAUU
rnacentral:snRNA from 1 species